GACGAACGCUGGCGGCGUGCCUAAUACAUGCAAGUAGAACGCUGAAGAGAGGAGCUUACUCUUCUUGGAUGAGUUGCGAACGGGUGAGUAACGCGUAGGUAACCUGCCUUGUAGCGGGGGAUAACUAUUGGAAACGAUAGCUAAUACCGCAUAACAAUGGAUGACACAUGUCAUCUAUUUGAAAGGGGCAAUUGCUCCACUACAAGAUGGACCUGCGUUGUAUUAGCUAGUAGGUGAGGUAAUGGCUCACCUAGGCGACGAUACAUAGCCGACCUGAGAGGGUGAUCGGCCACACUGGGACUGAGACACGGCCCAGACUCCUACGGGAGGCAGCAGUAGGGAAUCUUCGGCAAUGGGGGCAACCCUGACCGAGCAACGCCGCGUGAGUGAAGAAGGUUUUCGGAUCGUAAAGCUCUGUUGUAAGUCAAGAACGGGUGUGAGAGUGGAAAGUUCACACUGUGACGGUAGCUUACCAGAAAGAGACGGCUAACUACGUG
rnacentral:rRNA from 1 species